CCUCCUUCUAUAAAUACGCAAAAACCCUCCCCUUAACAAACCCUCUUUCCCCUAACCCUAAUCGUCGGGUUUUGCCCUCAAACCAAUUCAUCAGCAAGAGAAACACUAGAUCCACAGAUCUGUCCUCUCCUUUUCUAUCUAAGGAUGGUUUCCGACGCCAGCAAAAAGAAGGCCGCACAGAAGAAGGCGGCGGCGGCGGCUAAGAGGGGCGGAAAGGCAGCUGCCGCAGCUGCAUCGUCCAAAGCUACUGCUGCUGCUGCU
rnacentral:misc_RNA from 1 species